rnacentral:rRNA from 1 species
UACGGAGGGAGCUAGCGUUGUUCGGAAUUACUGGGCGUAAAGCGCACGUAGGCGGCUACUCAAGCCAGACGUGAAAUCCCCGGGCUUAACCUGGGAAUGGCGUUUGGAACUGGAAGGCUAGAGUGUGUCAGAGGGGGGUGGAAUUCCACGUGUAGCAGUGAAAUGCGUAGAUAUGUGGAGGAACACCGAUGGCGAAGGCAGCCCCCUGGGAUAACACUGACGCUCAUGCAAGAAAGCGUGGGGAGCAAACAGG